ensembl:lncRNA
GGAAGAACUGUAAUUACCUUUAACAAGACAGAGAUAUUGUGCGAGUGAGCGCGUUUGGGCUGUCAGAACAGCGGCGGUGGGAGUUCGUCUCCAGUCGGUGGCACCGCAAGGGCAAACGCUUUGUAGCUCCCUCCCCUCUGCCCGCCUUCUGUGGGCAAACACAGCUCCUUGCUUGGCCUCUGCUUCCCAGGAGAAAACCUGCUGCUUGCAGGUCUGCUGUCCUGAACGCUCUUCAUGUCCGCUAAGCUCUCACAGAGCCCAUCCCUGCUCCAAGGCACUGUGCAGGUGAUGGAUCGGUCCUUGCUCUGCGGAUGGACUUGGCCAAGCGGUGUGUGAGGUUGGAAGGAAGGAUGGUGUCAUUCCCAGGGCUUGGCGUGGCACAGCCCAUCACCAUCGGAUGGUAAAACCCAUUGGUUUGGGGUAAAACCCAUUGGCCCUUGGGAUCUGGUGGCCUGAAUGCCAGCAUGCUUCUGUUCAGCUCUAGGGAUGGAAGAAGCAGUUCUUUGUAGGCAUUUCCACCUUCCUCUGCUCGUUCCACCUUGGCCACUGCUGACCCAACAUGUGUGGGCCUGGCUAUGCACCACCAGGACCUGGCUCUGCUGCUGUGCCACAGCUCGUCAUGGAGGGGUUAAGUUGUUUUCCUUGCUGCAUGCAUGUGACUCAAAAGAUGAUAUUUUUUCCAAACAAAAUUUUUCCAUCCCAUCUGUCACUAAUGUCAAUGCACUUCUUUGCCCAGAUCCUUUUUUUUUUUUAAAUAACUCUAAAAUCUAGCAUUAUUUUAGAAAAAUCUGAGUUCUUGUUGCCAGAUCUGUGAUAUUUUCCCAUUCUCAGAACGUCGCUGUCGCUGUGCUUGGUGCUCUCCUGCCAUCCUUGCAACUGCUGGGCACAGGGAGCAGCCAGCAGCUGGUGCUGUGCCCCAGCAGCUGUAGGGGAUGUCCUUGGCUCUCUCCCUGCUGCCAGUAGCAUGGGAGCACUGUGGCUCCAUGCCAUGCCACUUGUGGAGCUGGGUACCCCUGUGCUGCAGCUCCCCAUCCCGCUCAGCUGCAGAGCAGCAUUGCUCAGCCCCGUGCCCAACCUUUCAGUGCAGUGCAGUGACGUUGGCUGCCAAAGCCACUCCUGGCUCCAACUGCUGCCUAAUGAGCCUGUGGGGAGCGAGGGGAAGCGGCAGCCAAUGAACAUACAGAACGAUGAAAAGGUCAGAGCUGUUCAGUGUGACACAAUAAGGAACCAAAAUUGUGAGGCAUUGAGCUUCCGCUCGCCGUCGGUCCCUGGGUGGUGGCCAGGCAUGGGGGCUGCUGGGCAUCCCAGUGCCGUGCUGCAUCUCAGUGCCACAGUGCAUCCCACUGCAGUGGUGUGGCUGCCCAAGAGAGCCCGGUGUCCUCGCUGCCUGCACUAUGGGAACAUGCUGUGGGCCCACCAGAACCUGCAGAACAGGAUGAGGAAGCAGACAGCUGUGUGCAGCAGGCAAGGAAAAGAUCUGUUUAAAGCCCGCUUAUUCCAUCCCAUCAAAGCCAUCAUGACAGUCUCCAUGUCAGCCCCGUGCCGCAGGGACUGGUAUUGA